rnacentral:rRNA from 1 species
GUGGGGAAUAUUGGACAAUGGGCGAAAGCCUGAUCCAGCCAUGCCGCGUGUGUGAAGAAGGUCUUCGGAUUGUAAAGCACUUUAAGUUGGGAGGAAGGGCAUUAACCUAAUACGUUAGUGUUUUGACGUUACCGACAGAAUAAGCACCGGCUAACUCUGUGCCAGCAGCCGCGGUAAUACAGAGGGUGCAAGCGUUAAUCGGAAUUACUGGGCGUAAAGCGCGCGUAGGUGGUUCGUUAAGUUGGAUGUGAAAUCCCCGGGCUCAACCUGGGAACUGCAUCCAAAACUGGCGAGCUAGAGUAGGGCAGAGGGUGGUGGAAUUUCCUGUGUAGCGGUGAAAUGCGUAGAUAUAGGAAGGAACACCAGUGGCGAAGGCGACCACCUGGGCUCAUACUGACACUGAGGUGCGAAAGCGUGGGGAGCAAACAGGAUUAGAUACCCGAGUAGUCC